AUCCCUGUCAGAAUGGAAUUGUCCACCUUUUGGCGGACUAGGUGAUCCACACCAGUGUCUCGGACAGCGGUUCGAUUCCGCUCAGCUCCAUUCCUCUUUCAGGUUUCUAGGGGCUGCAAUGGUUUCGACGGGGUAUGAGGAGGGUGACUGAAGCCUGCUCGGUAUGAGCAACUACGUAACUGCGAACAACAUCGUUCGUUUCUCCCGUCAGCCUGCCCUCGUGGCUGCCUGACCCUUAGGGGAGAUGGGGUGAGGUCAGCCUUAUCACCCAAAUGACCCACGGGGCCUGAGAGGGCCCCUCUUUUAUUGCUAGGGCUAGGUUUUUGGAGAUUUACUCCUGUCGAUAAAAUCUUGUGACGUGACAUAGGCGUGACAACCGGGGUCGAGUUUGCUCCUGCAUGAAAAACAUUCGGUAUUUAGCUGAUUCAGCGCUUACGUUCCAUCGACCGCUGAAUCUCGAUCUCGGUUGGGCAAGUGCCAGCCUUCCUGGAUG
rnacentral:tmRNA from 1 species